rnacentral:misc_RNA from 1 species
GCCUCGCCGACUCCCGGUUCGACUCCAUCCGCCGUCGUUUUCUUUCGUCUAUCACCUCAACUUUCCGGUCCGGGGCACACGGACCGGCAUCCAUCGGUUCCGGUUCGUCCCGGUUUUCGGAACUCGAACUGGAAAUCACCGGGUUUGGGGAGUGGAAAACGUCAAAUAAUCCCGUUGGUUCCGUCAUCUGGGACACAACCGGCAAAAACUCGGGGUCGUGAUCG